rnacentral:lncRNA from 1 species
CGCGCUCCACCCACAACGGUUAUCAGCCAGAGAGCUGAGCUCUAUCCGCUGUAUAACACUGGCUCAAUUAAGACUCAUCUCAUACUUUCGACUUGUAAUUGAUUUUAAUACCAACUCUGACGCCCUUUCGACGAGGGAUCAUCUAAAACUAUUCUAACCCUAACCUGCUUAACGAUCUUAACCUUUUAGACCUAACCAUCACCCAAAAUGUUGAAACUAAGUUAAAAAGUUUACUCUUAUUAUAUUUUAU